rnacentral:rRNA from 1 species
UACAGAGGGUGCGAGCGUUGUCCGGAAUCACUGGGCGUAAAGGGCGCGUAGGCGGCUUGAUAAGCGUGCGAUGAAAGCCCGGGCUCAACCCCGGGUCGGCCGUGCGAACUCGUCGAGCUGGAGCACUGUAGAGGCAGGUGGAAUUCCGGGUGUAGCGGUGGAAUGCGUAGAGAUCCGGAAGAACACCGGUGGCGAAGGCGGCCUGCUGGGCAGUGGCUGACGCUGAGGCGCGACAGCGU